rfam:Cricetulus griseus cell line CHO-K1, whole genome shotgun sequence.
GUUUCUGUAGUGUAGUGGUUAUCAUGCUCGCCUAACACUCGAGAGGUCCCCGGUUCAAAACCGGGUGGAAACA